rnacentral:sRNA from 1 species
AUGACUUGCAGAUCUCUUGAAUGUUUUAAAUCACACAAAUUAAAAAGGGGAAAGGUUCUAGAAUCUCAGUGUGAGCGCUGGUGGAAAUGUGUGACCUGCAAAAAAAUUAUAGACAGACACAAAAGAAGACCAGAAGAUCAUUUCUGUGAAGAGUGGCAGUGUCAAGCAAGCAAACAAUUUGUAGAUGUAGAUCACUUGUGUUACAUGAGAGCGUUAGAAUGCACGGAAAAGAAACCCAGAUACAUAUGUUUUGACUUUGAAUGCACACAGAAUGAUGUUUUGUGCUGUGCAGAAGGUUACGCCAUGAACAAAAAUCCUGAAUGUGUACAGUGUAACAAUAAUAAUGAUCCUUGUUUAGAAUGUGCUCUUUGUAUCAACUGUCAACAGUUUUGGUGUGGAAAGUUUCAACACAGACCGAAUUUAGUGGUGGCUCAAAAGGUUUGCGAGAAAUGUAUUGACCAAGUAUUCAUCCCGGGAUCCAGGUGCGACAACUGUGGAACCAGAUGUAGAAAGUGUGAUAAAAUUGACAAGGAAGAAAAAAAGUUUGUUAACUUUCCAUGCGAAAACACAUGCGGGUUUCGCGAAACUGUGUUUCAGGGGGACAAUACAGCAGACGAUUUUGGAUCAUGGUUGUUCAACGAAACACACAAAGAUUUUACGGUCAUUGCACAUACUAUGAAGGGCUAUGAUGGCUACCUUUUGUUAGAGUAUCUCAUGGCUAAUUUUAUUGUUCCGAAGGUUAUUUUUGCUGGGUCCAAAAUCAUAUUUUAUGGAAGUGAUACGAUGAGUACCAAAGAACGACAAGACUUUCUGACAUGGCAUAAUGAAAAAGUGGAAAGUAACAAGACUUUUGACUUUGCCAGAGAAAUUUUGGAAUACUGUAGCAGCGAUGUAAACAUACUGAGACAAGCCUGCUUAAAAUUUAGAAACAUUCUCAUGGAUAUCACGGGUAAACAUGAAGUAAUAUUUGAUGAGGAUUUGCCAGAAACAAAAUUAAUGGGUGGAGUGGAUCCAUUUCAACACAUAACUAUUGCUAGUGUCUGCAUGCAAGUGUUCAAGACUAAGUUUUUGCAGGAAGACUGGCGUGUUAAAGUCAGAAAUGAUGGAAAGUUGACUGACUGGUUGCCCGCCCGACGAUUGCAAGGAGAAUUUUUUAUCUACUUCAAUGAAACUUGUGUUACAGGCAAGGAAUUACAAAAUCAAGAUUGCGUGAUCGAGGAAUCCGAAUUUGUUAGUUCUCCAAUUUCACAAAUUCCAUCUGUGGGAUAUGGACCUUUCUUAGGUCAAUAUAGUGACAUUUCCAUUAAAUGGUUGUGUUGGAUGCAGGAAGACCACUACAGAAAGACGGGCAAUAAAAUCUACAUUUGUCACGCCUUGAACGAAGAUUCAGUCAUCUUUGUCAGCAAAUCAGGCGACAAAGAACCUGAAGUCGGAUCGUUUUUGGGACAACUUACUAGUGAAUUAGAUCCCGAUGAAUACAUAUCUUAA